CCAGGAUGCUGACCAAUCAGGUCAUAAGCUCAGCCCUACAGUUGGGCUGGGGGCCUGAGGUUUCUGUUGGGGCAGAGGGAAGGCUGGGGGCAGUUGGGGGCAGCUGUGGGCAGUUGAGGCAGUUGGAGGCCAUUAGCUUCCAGACUCAGAAAGGCCAACAGAAUGUGACAGAGCGCAGAGGGACGCAGGCCAUGGGAAGAGGUGGGGAGGUGUCACUGGGCACCCAGGACAGAUGGAACCUCGAAACCUAUAAUUACAUUCCUCAUUACUGGAGGGACCAUCAUGACCUCACAUGGAAGCUGAAGCGGUGACAGCUGCAAGCUAACAGCCUCUCUGCUGACGGCUACCUGGGCUCCAGGAUCACAGCUGGACAGAGGCCCAGAGGACCAGGGGGUGGGGCAUGGAGCUGAGCCCUGCAAUGGCCCCGGCUCCAGGCUCUGAACACUGGAAGCUGGGACCUCUGCCCGGCAUGCCUACAGGGCGAGUUCUGUUCAGUCACCUCCACUCUACAUCCAGCUGCUCCUGCUACCACCACCUCUCCAGGGGGAGCUUCUCCUGAGAUGCCCCCUUGCCACGCGCACACCAGUGACUCUGUCAGGCCUGACCUUUCUUUAGCCCUGGUACCUGCAGCCAGAACCCCAGCACAUGGAGAGGACCAGAUCCUGCCUGUGGACCCCCACAACCUUGCCUGGAGUCAGGGCUGAGAAGCAGCCUCGCCCAGCCAGCGCAGAAGCUCCCAAAAGAGGAGGAGGACGCUCAGAGCACAGGUGGCCCCCAGCAGCGCUAGGCUGAUGGGCCCAGUGAGCAGCUGAGGGAAAGCUGGGGGUGCUGGUGCAGACCCCCACUUCCAGCCUAGCUCCCACCGCUGCCUGGACACCCCUUCACAGAGCCACCUGCUCAGAGUGUGUGUGUGACAAGCCCAUGUCAUCCAGGCAUGGGAUCCAUCCCACUUGAGUUCAGGCGCCAGCAGGAAGGCCAGGACUCAGGAAGGCUAGUGACUCCCAAAUGUGCGAGAGGAGCGGCUCAGCGGGCCACUUGUCUGGUUUCAAACACAGGCAGAGUCCGGCGUGGGCACUUUUCCUGUCUGGAUGGGAUCUCACACAGACCCUGAACCAGGGUCCCGGCAGGCCCCUGAGGAAGGCCACACACAGCCUCCUCCCUGAACCCUCAGCCCUCCCUCUGAAACCUCCUUCAGUUCUUUCUGGGUGGCAUCACCUGAAGUCCCUGAGCUAGUUUAGGCCCCAGCACUGUCCUCACCGUUUCCUGAGCCGAUCCUUGCCUCAUCAGCUGCCUGGCAGAAGGGUCUCAGAUAAAGUCCCCGGGCCCCCUGGGGCCUGGGUGCUCUGCUGUGGCAAAGGGAUAGCCCCACUUCUCACAAUCACAGUGACCAAGUGAGGGCGUGUGUAAGGGCCUGGGGUGACCCUUAUUUAAGGGGUGCACUGUGGCUCCUGGGUGAUGGGGGUGCACUCUUAGUUGACCCAGGAUGAGAUACAUGGUCACGGACCACACCACCUCCCUGACACUCAUUCUCAAGCUCCCUCCCAGAGGCCUCCACGAGCUUCAGCACCUGUCUGACUCCUUGGUCACCCUAGUGACAUGAGCUGCUCCCUGAAGGGCCCCAGGUGUCCCCUGCCCUGCUCUGGUGAUCAGGCUGUCCCUGUGUCUUCACACUGGGUGGGGCUUCUCAGUCUGCUCACUGAUGCCCACACUGAACCAGGGAAGUAGGGUACAGGGGUCUCUGCUCAGUCCCUGCUGUCGCAGCCCUCUCCUCCCCACAGAGGUGAGUCUGGGGUGCACUCUGCAGCCAUCCCCAAAUCCUCAGGGCCUUCGUGCUCUGUCCCGUGAAGUUUUGAGUGCCAUGGGGGCAUCCCCAGGAGUCUUUACUGUCUGGCUGGUAAGCCUGGUGCUGAUUGUCC